rnacentral:piRNA from 1 species
GUCUUUUGCAGUAGGCGGUGACCUUUUAU